UUUAUGGAGAGUUUGAUCCUGGCUCAGGAUGAACGCUGGCGGCGUGCCUAAUACAUGCAAGUCGAGCGAACGGACGAGAAGCUUGCUUCUCUGAUGUUAGCGGCGGACGGGUGAGUAACACGUGGAUAACCUACCUAUAAGACUGGGAUAACUUUGGGAAACCGGAGCUAAUACCGGAUAAUAUUUUGAACCGCAUGGUUCAAAAGUGAAAGACGGUCUUGCUGUCACUUAUAGAUGGAUCCGCGCUGCAUUAGCUAGUUGGUAAGGUAACGGCUUACCAAGGCAACGAUGCAUAGCCGACCUGAGAGGGUGAUCGGCCACACUGGAACUGAGACACGGUCCAGACUCCUACGGGAGGCAGCAGUAGGGAAUCUUCCGCAAUGGGCGAA
rnacentral:rRNA from 1 species